AAAUGAAUUGACGGGGGCCCGCACAAGCGGUGGAGCAUGUGGUUUAAUUCGAUGCAACGCGAAGAACCUUACCAGGGCUUGACAUCCCGCGAAGCCUGCGGAAACGUGGGCGUGCCCUUCGGGGAGCGCGGAGACAGGUGGUGCAUGGUUGUCGUCAGCUCGUGUCGUGAGAUGUUGGGUUAAGUCCCGCAACGAGCGCAACCCUUACGCUGUGUUGCCAGCACGCUAGGGUGGGGACUCACAGCGGACUGCCGGUGACAAACCGGAGGAAGGUGGGGACGACGUCAAAUCAUCAUGCCCCUUAUGUCCUGGGCUACACACGUGCUACAAUGGCCGGUACAGACGGAGGCGAACCCGCGAGGGGGAGCGAAUCCGAGAAAGCCGGUCUCAGUUCGGAUUGCAGGCUGCAACUCGCCUGCAUGAAGUCGGAAUCGCUAGUAAUCGCAGGUCAGCAUACUGCGGUGAAUACGUUCCCGGGCCUUGCACACACCGCCCGU
rnacentral:rRNA from 1 species